AUUGAACGCUGGCGGCAGGCCUAACACAUGCAAGUCGAGCGGUAGAGAGAAGCUUGCUUCUCUUGAGAGCGGCGGACGGGUGAGUAAUGCCUAGGAAUCUGCCUGGUAGUGGGGGGAUAAACGUUCGGAAACGAACGCUAAUACCGCAUACGUCCUAACGGGAGAAAGCAGGGGGACCUUCGGGCCUUGCGCUAUCAGAUGAGCCUAGGUCGGAUUAGCUAGUUGGUGAGGUAAUGGCUCACCAAGGCGACGAUCCGUAACUGGUCUGAGAGGAUGAUCAGUCACACUGGAACUGAGACACGGUCCAGACUCCUACGGGAGGCAGCAGUGGGAAUAUUGGACAAUGGGCGAAAGCCUGAUCAGCCAUGCCGCGUGAGUGAUG
rnacentral:rRNA from 1 species